CCUACGGGAGGCAGCAGUGGGGAAUAUUGCACAAUGGGGGAAACCCUGAUGCAGCGACGCCGCGUGAAGGAUGAAGUCUUUCGGUAUGUAAACUUCUAUUAGCAGGGAAGAAAAUGACGGUACCUGACUAAGAAGCCCCGGCUAACUACGUGCCAGCAGCCGCGGUCAUACGGGGGGGGCACGCGUUAUCCGGAUUUACUGGGUGGUAAGGGGGCGUAGACGGUAUGGAAAGUCUGAUGGGAAAACCCCGGGCUCAACCCCGGGACUGCAGUGGAAACUGCCGAACUUGAGUGUGGGAGAGGCAAGUGGAAUGCGUAGUGUAGCGGUGAAAUGCAUAGAUAUUACGCGGAACACCGGUGGCGAAGGCAGCUUGCUGG
rnacentral:rRNA from 1 species